rnacentral:rRNA from 1 species
AAAAACUCCGGUGGUAUAAGAUGGACCCGCGUCUGAUUAGCCAGUUGGCGGGGUAACGGCCCACCAAAGCGACGAUCAGUAGCCGACCUGAGAGGGUGACCGGCCACAUUGGGACUGAGACACGGCCCAAACUCCUACGGGAGGCAGCAGUGGGGAAUAUUGCACAAUGGGGGAAACCCUGAUGCAGCAACGCCGCGUGAGUGAAGAAGUAUUUCGGUAUGUAAAGCUCUAUCAGCAGGGAAGAAGAUGACGGUACCUGAAUAAGAAGCCCCGGCUAACUACGUGCCAGCAGCCGCGGUAAUACGUAGGGGGCAAGCGUUAUCCGGAUUUACUGGGUGUAAAGGGAGCGCAGACGGCAGUGCAAGUCUGGAGUGAAAGCCCGGGGCCCAACCCCGGAACUGCUCUGGAAACUGUGCGGCUAGAGUACUGGAGGGGCAGGCGGAAUUCCUAGUGUAGCGGUGAAAUGCGUAGAUAUUAGGAGGAACACCAGUGGCGAAGGCGGCCUGCUGGACAGUAACUGACGUUGAGGCUCGAAAGCGUGGGGAGCAAACAGGAUUAGAUACCCUGGUAGUCCACGCCGUAAACGAUGA